CGGAGUGAGGCUUGGAUGCGUCCCCUUUUCUCUUUCGAAAGCUCAGCCGCUCAGAGAGAGAAGAAUGGGGAGUAGGGUUCCUGUGCAACAGUACAACUUGAGAUCUGCGAAUUCCUUCAUCGGUAGCUCGCUGCAUGAUCUUAACACCGUCGAUUCCCGCCCCAAUAAUCUCGAUGCCAUUGGGGAUGCCGUUGAUAGCCACGCCGAUGAUAGCUUGGAUGCCGACGAUGAUUCCAAUGCUGCUGUUGACUGCAUGCAUGAAUCCUACAGGAAUUCCUUACCACUUCACGGUGUUGGAGUGGAAGAAGAUCGACCUAGUCUUGAGAACAAUGGUUCUUCAAGAGUUGCCUAUGAUAUAUUGACCAUUGAGGAUGUUUCGCCUAUUGAGUCUGCCAGGGCAAGAUUUUUGCAAAUAAUUGUGGAUCACUUCAUAAGUGAUCAUGUGGUUGAAGUGGCUGAUAAUGAGGCUGAAUGUGUUGCUCACUCAGGACAAGACAAAUUGAGUAAAAGGAAAUCAGGAGACGUGCAAUAUGAAGGUGAUCCGAGGUUUGCUUUGCCCUUGAUGUAUGUUGCAAAUAUGUAUGAAACACUAGUGCAUGAUGUAAAUAUGAGGCUGGCUUCUUUGAAUGGUAUUCGAGAUAAGACCAUUGGAGUAGCCCUUGAAGCAGCGGGUGGUUUGUACAGAAGAAUGGCUAAGAAAUUUCCUAAAAAGGGUUCUUGUGUAUUUAAAAGAAGAGAAUUGGCAACUUCUUUAGAGACAAGGACACGAUUCCCAGAACUAGUAAUACAGGAAGAGAAGAGAGUACGUUUUGUGGUGGUCAAUGGUUUGGAUAUAAUUGAGAAACCUGACAAUGUGCCCAUUGAAGAUGCUGAGUGGUUUAAAAGAUUGACAGGUCGGAAUGAGGUUGUUGUCUCUGCUCGAGACUAUAAAUUCUACUCUCCAAGGCACAAGUAUAGACGUCCUGUGUCCAACAUUCCUGGUUUGCCAACACUUCCUGCUACUGACAAUUCUUCUACGAUUGCUACUGCACAAGGAUUUAGAUCUCCACAAAAUGAGCAGCAGACUCCUUCGAAGCAUCACGUUGAUUCUUUGUCGCAUCAGCCUCAGUUUCACCCAAUUCAUCAGAACCAUCAUCAAGUUCACCAAAGUCAACAUGCAACCCAGUUUUCUCAAAGUCAACAAUGUGGACCAACUUCACACUUGCCUGAAAUCGCCCAUGCUAAUCAGUCUCCUGGCAUUCCACAACACAUGGCUUACUUACAACCCCC
rnacentral:misc_RNA from 1 species